GAUCAUGUUAAUAAGUUCUAAUUUUAAUAAAAUUUCUAAAUUAGUGAAGUUUAAAAUUUUCACUGGUCGCCCCAACCGAACUUUAUUUCUUUAUGAAAAAGUUAAGAUUUAUAGGGUCUUCUCGUCCUUUGAAUAAAUCUUAACUUUUUCAUAAAGAAAUAAAGUUCGGUUGGGAAAAUUGAGACAAUUGAAACUUUAUUUAUUCUUUCAUACGAUUUUACAAUUAGUAAACUAAUUAUUAUCUACCUUUGCAA
rnacentral:rRNA from 1 species